GUGUGUGUUUGUGGGGUUUUUUGUUUUGUUGGGUUUUUUGUAAUCUCUGCUUUCCCAGCAUCUCCAGUCCAGAGGCAUUGAUCAGGAUACCGGUGCAGUCACAGAAUAUUUACUUGUUCAGGAGCACUUAUCCUGAAGUGAUCUUUAAUCCACAGUCUAAACAGACCAUCUAGGGCAAGGUAGCUGCUAAUAUGCUCUUUUUAAUUCUUAAACCACCUGGCUUCGAUAUAUUUGAGGGAGGAAUAUAAAAGGUGUCAUUGCACAGGGUUUUUAAUGUGUUUACUUGGGGUUAAAUUCAUGGCCUAAACAGCUGUGAAUUUAAACAUCUAAAGUGCUUUGGUGGAAUGAGACUCCCUUAACAAAGGAAAGCUUAUCUAUAUAUUUAAGAUUAUUUUUGAAGACCCCACUGAUAAAGUUGUAGAGUGAAAACAUGCUUUGCACACUGCUUGUUUUGGGCGUUAUAUAUUGGAGGCUGUUGCUGUUGACCUUGGUCCUGAUAGGAGGGAUAAAGGUAUGAAUGACAUAGCUGAAGAAUGCCAUCAGCACAGGAUGGGUUAGAAGUAGUUGCUAAUGGUCUUUACUUACCUAGAAAAGUGGCAAUUGCUUCAACAGCUCCAUUGUACACUGCAGAGCUGUGAGAGGGGGCUCUGAAGUCCCACAGCACUUGGAUGUAAUUCAGCACCUGGUUAAAGCCUGCUGUAGCCAGAGCCCACCACAGGGACCAGUAGAGAAGUUUCCUAGAGCUGUAGCAGUCCCUCAAGUCCUUGCUCAGCUGCACCAGAACCCUGAGCACAUGAUUCUGUGGCUUGGCAUUACCAGUCUGCUGUUCAAGUGCUGGUGCCCUGUCAGCAGAUGGAGAGCUCUUGUCCUCUUGGCAGCUCGGUGGCCUGUCGGAGCUGACUGUAGCCACCGUUUUCUCUAUUCCUGGGAGAGUUUCCGAGAUCUCUUUCCUGUGGAAGAACAUACUCUUUUGGGGCAUUGGGAGGAAAAACGAACACAGGAAUGCCAGGGACACAGAAGCCAAAGUGAUGGCGUGAAGGUGAAAGUAGGAUACAUCUGCUAAGGACACGAGCAGCUGUCCCAGCACGGCAGCAACUGUGGCUGCAACCAGAGUGAUACUUCUGCAAUAGCUCGUCACCCUCUGAUAGUGAUCGCUGCUGACAACACUGUAGAUGUAGGCGUAAUAGGCGACCUCGGCGGCUGUCACCAUGCCGUAGAAGAAUUCCACUAUCUGCAUGGCCACCACUCCAUGUGCGAAGAGGAGCAAGAGCCACGUGAUGAUGAAGCUGAUGCCCUGGAGGAGGAGGACGGGCUUGUAGCGCACAUAGUCUGUAAUGAGGAAGACUGGGAGAAGGAGUGCA